GCGGAGAGUGCGCGGCGGAGAGGAGCGGGGAGUGAGAGAGGGCGGGGAGGCGGCGCCGCUUUUAUAUGGAGACUAGGCAGGGAGCCGGGAGGAGGAGGAAGAGGAGGAGGAAAGGACCACCCGGCACAUCCUCACGCGGUGGCUGCCUCCGCUCUUCCAGCCGUUGGCCCGGGGCUGAUGUCAUCUGCAGCAAAUCAUCUCGCCCGCGGCCCGGAAGCUGGAGGGACGAGGUGUGCGGACAAUGGUCGGGGCAGGGCCGCGAGCCAAGGGGCUGGGGCGCCCGCUGAGCUCCUGCUGCAGCCGUGAAGGGGGAAGACGCUCUCAACCUACACCACCCACCACGUACACACCCACUGCCCACUCCUCACCCUCACCCUGUCUGUGCAUGGGAAUGGGAUGAGUUUCCAUUUUCGGAGUGGGGGUCUUUUCUCUUGUUGGAGUUGCACUAGUCAGGCCUCUGCCUUGUGUGCUGUGUAUGAUGUAGCCAGGUUCUCAGGAACUGGGAUAGCCACAGUGGGCAGAUGCGGGGCUGUGGGUACCCCGCCUAGGAAGACGGAACCUGUCUUUUCUUUGACCUUGUGGCUUUAAGAAGACGAAUUUACUGAUAUUUACCAAUAUCAAUAUUUACCACCUUCACUUAAAGAAUACAUCAAAAAUGCAAAACUUAAGCCUACUAUUGUUCAGGCCUUGGAUUCUACUCUGGCAGGGCCAAGGAUGAAAAAGUACUGGCUUUGUGGUGCUCAUGGGAAAUGAGAGAAAUGCAGAUGUAUUAUAUUAGAUACCAAUUUCUUUCCUUAAUGUGCUGAACAGAUAGUAUCAGUAAUAACAAAGAAUAAAGAGAAGAUACUGUCUCUACUCAGCAGGGUUACAGUGACUAUAAUGUACUUUUCAGUUCCUUGGGGAACACACAAGCAAAAUUACCUCGUGACAAUGAUGUCUUUUAAAAUACCUGUAGCAUUGGGAAUUUUUAUUGCCUUUGUUUGUGUUUAGAAGAACUAAAAAAUGUGUUUUUUGUUUUUGUUUUUUUGUUUUUUUUUUUAAGGCAGCCUAUUUACAACCGUUUCUCACAAACAUACUGAAUAUAGCUUCUGUCCCAGAAAAGGGGAGGAGGGUGAGGAAAGAGCAAAAUGUGCAAACAUGGUAUCAUAGAAGACUGGGGAAUUCGAGCUUUAAGGAAGAGGAAUAGAUGGAAAUUAGUCAACAUAGCUUUAAUACUAGAAUGCCUGUUAGUAAAAUAUAGAUGAUAGAUAGAUAGAUAGAUAGAUAGAUAGAUAGAUAGAUAGAUAAUCACCUAGAUAUUCUUAAGAUUUCCAAAAUAACCCAGUGUCUUAGGUGUUAGCUGCCAUGACUUAUUGGUCAUGUACUCUUUGCUCUUAUAUCUUUCCUGACACCCUGGCAUGGGAGACAUGCUGGGCAGCCAAGGGCUGGGGGGUUCCAUCCAACAUGUCAAUCUGAUCAAUGCAGAAUGAAAAUACCGUCUGGCCCGCAGUAUUUGGGAUCUGUGACAGGAUCACUAGAGAGUUGCAUUCACCAGUAAUUAGAUGAAGUGUUUCCAACUAGCUGCAUUCACCAGUAACUAGAUGAAGUGUUUCCAGAUAAUAUUUUGGUUAAGAUAUUCAAUUGCUGUUCAAGAAGUAAGGCCAGCACCAAAGCCCAUAACUGGGGUGAGGGGCAGGAAAUAUGGUGAAGAGCACUGUUUUCUAAAGGUCAUCCGUUGGAUUCCAGCCUCAUCUAGUUUGUGUUUGGUUUUCCUUUCUUUGAACCAUUGUUACUUUUAUGUAUGUAAUAGUUUUCUUUUAUGCAGUUUAUUUCUUUUACUUAAAUUUAUUUUUAAAUGCAAUUCUAUGUUGCUGUAUAAAUGGAAACACUAAUAUCACUUAUUAAUAGAAAGUAUCCCUAAAAAUAUACACAAUGAAGAUAAGAUGUGAUCAAAUUCCUGCUACAUACUGUUAUGAUUUGCUCAAGACUCUGAGUCCAAGGCUCUCCUUUCUUGGUUGAAAACAGAGAUUGGCCAAGUGUUAGAGAGGUAUUAAAGAGAUACUAACACCUAACUGAGUUGUUCUCCAUGUUGCAACAGAAGAUUGGAUGAAAAUUAUAACAGAGCGCUUUCUUACUGUGUGUGUCUGUGCAAUUAAACACCAUGACCGUGACCACCUAAGUCAUCACCCACACUUUGAAAAAUAGAGGCAUAAUGGGAGAACACAGACUAGGGAUGCAGAAUACUACUUUACAGCUCGGUAACUUUGGCAAGUGACUUACUCUUUUUGAUCUUCCAUCUCCUUAUUUAAUGAGAAGAAGAACAUCUUUAUAACUGUUAAAGUAACUGUAAGAAAGAAGGAAAUGAUAGAAUGUGUAAGCACCUAAUACAGUGGCUGGGCAUAGUAAGCAAUCAAGGGAUGGUUGAUUCAUUGACCUGUUUUCUCCCAGUUACUAAGACAAUGGAGCAAAAGCAGUCUUAUAAAAUGUGCAAGUGAUACUGCUACAACACCUCUGAAACAAGAACAGAAUAUUACAUUAUUAUACUUCAAUACUAGAAAAGUAGCCCCUUCCCCUCUUCAUCCCAAGAAAAUGUAUACAGUUCUAAGGAGGAAAAAGGGGGAAAACUAACAUAUAAGAGCACCAAUAUUGCCAGCUGCUCAACUGACAUCACCUGGAUAUACCAAAGGCACCAGAAUCUUGACAUGCUCCAAACCCAAAUCAUCUUUUACCUCUAAACGGGAUCCUCUCUCAUUCUUGUUAUUUCAAUGAACCAUAACACCAUGUAUCCCAUGAUGCAAACCAAAACCUCACAAAUAUUUUGGACUCUCCCCUGACCCUUAGCCUCGUGUGCAAUCCAGCAUGGAGUCUGGUCAAUUUCACCUUCAGUAUCUCUUCAAUCCAUCCACGUUUCUCCAUUAUCACCAACCUAGUCCAAGCUAGCAUCAUUGUGAUAGGUACUAGUGUACCGGUUAGAAAAUGGGUUCUGGAGUCAGACUGCCUGGUUUUGAAUCCUAAUACCAUAAUUUAUUAGCUGUGUGGCCUUAAGCAAGGUGCUUAACCACUCUAUACCUUGGUUUUCUCAUUUGUAUAGUAGAGAUGAGUACCGACCUCAUGGACAGGAGGACAGUUUAAAUAUGCAAAUUACUUAAAACAGUGCCUUGCAUAUAAUGAGCACUUAAUAGGGAUUAGUUGUUUUUGGUAUGGGGUUAGUUGUUUUUGGCUGUUAUUGUUUAACAUUUUACUAUGGAAAAUUUCAAACAGAGAGAGUAUAAUGUAAGUAACACCCACAUACCCAUUAUCCCCAAUCCAUAGAUUUUUAUAGUUUGCUUCUUUAAAUCAAGAUUGAAAUAAUGUCUAUAUAUUUCAACUGAUUCAUCAGUCUUAAACUCCUUUGAUCUAUGUAAUCCUGCUAUUUUUUUCCUUGUAAUUUUCUGUUGAAUAGUGGCAACAUUGUUCAGCAGAGUUUCACAAAGCAUAAAUUUUGCCGAUUGCAUCACCUGUUGUGUUAUUUAACAUGUUCUUCUAUCUUCUGAAUUUUCUGAGAGAACUAAAGUCUUGAUCAGAUGCAGAUUUGAUAUUUUUUACAUGUAUACUUCAUAGGUAAUAUUGUGAUCUUCCAUCAGAAGGCACCUAAAGACUAGUUAACCCUCAUUCUGUGAUUUUAGCAGCUAUUGAUGAUCAUUACCUAGAUCCAUUAUUUCACUAUGGAUUGAAAAAAUGAUAAUAUUCUAAUUUUGUUAUUAUUUAUUUGACAGCUAGAAGACUUCUGUUAGGAGAAGCGUUAUCCUGUCAGUUGAUUACCCUGAGUUAUUAUUAUUGCUGUUUGACAGAUGAAAAACUGACAUGGAGAAAAGUUAGACAAUUCCUCCAAAUCACAAAGAUAAUUUGUUCAACUGAGAGAGUGCUUAACUCAGGAGAUCAAUAAAGGUUCAUAGAGGAAGAAGUAUUUGAAAUUGUCCUGGAAGAACAAUAUUUUUCAACAGGCAGAGAUGGAGAAAGGACAAUCUACAUGAACAGAACAGCAUGAGCAAAAAGAACUGGUUAGAGACUAUCCAUAGGAUAAAUUUCUAGCAAAUUGCUGAGUCCAGGAUAUGCAUGUUUGCAAUUUUGGAAGAUCUUAAAAACUUGCCUCCUAUAGGUGUUGUACCAGUAUAUACUUCUGCCAGUAAUAGAUGGGUGGGCUGCUGAUGCCUCAAAAUGUAAGUAUUUUCAAACUUUUAAAUUUUAGCCCAUUUAACAUAAUUUAAAAAUUAUGUCUCUGUGUGAUUUUAGUUCCAUUUCCCUUAUUAUAUAUAAGACUGAACAUCUUGGCAUAUGUUUAAGGGCCAUCUGCAUUUCCUUUUCUGUGCACUGUCAGCUUAUAUGCUUUGCCCAUUUUUUCUAGUAGAUGGUUAGUGUUUUUCUUAUUGAUUUGUAUAUAUUCUGUAUUACUCCUUUAUCACAUUGCCACAAAGAAAUGCCUGAGAUGGUGUCAUUUAUAGAGAAAAGAGGUUUAAUUGGCUCACAGUUCCACAGGCUAUACAGGAAGCAUGGCUGAGGAGG
rnacentral:lncRNA from 1 species